rnacentral:rRNA from 1 species
UACGUAGGGUGCAAGCGUUGUCCGGAAUUAUUGGGCGUAAAGAGCUCGUAGGCGGUCUGUCGCGUCUGGUGUGAAAACUCAAGGCUUAACCUUGGGCCUGCAUCGGGUACGGGCAGACUAGAGUGCGGUAGGGGAGACUGGAAUUCCUGGUGUAGCGGUGAAAUGCGCAGAUAUCAGGAGGAACACCGGUGGCGAAGGCGGGUCUCUGGGCCGUAACUGACGCUGAGGAGCGAAAGCGUGGGGAGCGAACCGG